rnacentral:misc_RNA from 1 species
UAUUAUAUAGUACUCAGACAUCACUGAUAAAAGAGUUUGGGUCCUCUGGCGGGCGCGAUCAGCCGGGGCCGACGCCUAAAAGGACGGCCCGCCAAAGCAACAAAGGUAAAUAAACACAGGGUAUAUGAUAUCUCCCUUUCCGAACAGAUGCGUGUUACGGCACUCGAACGGUCCGGUUACAUUAAUGAUCCUUCCGCAGGUUCACCUACGGAAACCUUGUUACGACUUUUACUUCCUCUAAAUGACCAAGA